GACGAACGCUGGCGGCGCGCCUAACACAUGCAAGUCGAACGAGAGAUGAGGAGCUUGCUCUUCAAAUCGAGUGGCGAACGGGUGAGUAACGCGUGAGGAACCUGCCUCAAAGAGGGGGACAACAGUUGGAAACGACUGCUAAUACCGCAUAAGCCCACGGCUCGGCAUCGAGCAGAGGGAAAAGGAGCAAUCCGCUUUGAGAUGGCCUCGCGUCCGAUUAGCUAGUUGGUGAGGUAACGGCCCACCAAGGCGACGAUCGGUAGCCGGACUGAGAGGUUGAACGGCCACAUUGGGACUGAGACACGGCCCAGACUCCUACGGGAGGCAGCAGUGGGGAAUAUUGCACAAUGGGGGAAACCCUGAUGCAGCGACGCCGCGUGGAGGAAGAAGGUCUUCGGAUUGUAAACUCCUGUUGUUGAGGAAGAUAAUGACGGUACUCAACAAGGAAGUGACGGCUAACUACGUGCCAGCAGCCGCGGUAAAACGUAGGUCACAAGCGUUGUCCGGAAUUACUGGGUGUAAAGGGAGCGCAGGCGGGAGAACAAGUUGGAAGUGAAAUCCAUGGGCUCAACCCAUGAACUGCUUUCAAAACUGUUUUUCUUGAGUAGUGCAGAGGUAGGCGGAAUUCCCGGUGUAGCGGUGGAAUGCGUAGAUAUCGGGAGGAACACCAGUGGCGAAGGCGGCCUACUGGGCACCAACUGACGCUGAGGCUCGAAAGUGUGGGUAGCAAACAGGAUUAGAUACCCUGGUAGUCCACACCGUAAACGAUGAUUACUAGGUGUUGGAGGAUUGACCCCUUCAGUGCCGCAGUUAACACAAUAAGUAAUCCACCUGGGGAGUACGACCGCAAGGUUGAAACUCAAAGGAAUUGACGGGGGCCCGCACAAGCAGUGGAGUAUGUGGUUUAAUUCGACGCAACGCGAAGAACCUUACCAAGUCUUGACAUCCCUUGACGAUGCUGGAAACAGUAUUUCUCUUCGGAGCAAGGAGACAGGUGGUGCAUGGUUGUCGUCAGCUCGUGUCGUGAGAUGUUGGGUUAAGUCCCGCAACGAGCGCAACCCUUAUGGUCAGUUACUACGCAAGAGGACUCUGGCCAGACUGCCGUUGACAAAACGGAGGAAGGUGGGGAUGACGUCAAAUCAUCAUGCCCUUUAUGACUUGGGCUACACACGUACUACAAUGGCGUUAAACAAAGAGAAGCAAGACCGCGAGGUGGAGCAAAACUCAGAAACAACGUCCCAGUUCGGACUGCAGGCUGCAACUCGCCUGCACGAAGUCGGAAUUGCUAGUAAUCGUGGAUCAGCAUGCCACGGUGAAUACGUUCCCGGGCCU
rnacentral:rRNA from 1 species